rnacentral:lncRNA from 1 species
ACUUAUUCACCAACCACAUAGACUAUUAUGCAAGAGGAUUCUUCAGAAUUUGAGGAGAACAUUAUAUUGCAAGAGUUCCGCAAAGGAUUUAAACUUGGGGACAGACUUCUACGGCCAUCGCACUGUUAUGUACUUGCGACGAAAAUAACAUAAAUAACAGAAAACUCAAAUACAAGAUCAAUACUCAAUGGAAAAUUGGAAAUUAUGGAAUUUGGAAUAAUCAUGGUCGUAAAAAUAAUCAUUGAUUUGGAAUUUGGACACUAAACUCAAUGAACUGGAAUGGAAUUUGGACACUAAACAAUAAUCAUUGAAAAUUGCAAUUUUAAGAAUAUAAAUAAACGGAAUGGACUGGAGGUGAUGAACUUACCUGGAAGUUGCUCGUCGGCGGACAGGAAUGAACUGGAAGUUGCUCAUCGGCAGACUGGAGGGAUCGUCGGCGGACUGGAGAGAUCGUCGCCGGACUGGAGGGAUCGUCGCCGGACAGGAAGAAUCGCCUGAAGGAUUUGGAGUUAUAACUUCAAGAAGGAUUUGGGGUUUUUGAUUUGGGGAAACAGAUUUGGGGUUUUGGGGUUUUUGAUUUGGAAAAACUGGGGAAAUAACUUUAAAAUGACUUAAUUUAACACAAUUUGGGAAAACAUUUAAAAUGACUAAAAUGACUUAACUUAGUUUAUACUUUUGGGGAUAUUACAAUUAAACUUAGUUUAAAAUUUAAAAGUUAAUAUUACAAUUUAUUAAAAUCACUAGUUGUAAUUAAUUUUUAAUAAUUUCUAAAAAAAUCACUAGUUGUUAAUUUUUUAUUUUUUAGGAUUUAUAAUUUAAAAUAACUUUAAUUUAUAACUUCUUCUAUUUUUUUUAAUGUAAAAUAAACUUAUUUUAUAAGUUUUAAAAUAUUUAAUUUAUUAAAUUGAUUUUUUACUUUUUACGAUUUAUAAUUUAAAAUAACUUUUAUAAUUGAAAUUUUAACUUUAAAAAUUAAAAUACCUUCUUUAAAUUUAUUUUUUAAUUUUAAAAUUAAAAAUAUCUAAAAUAACUUCAAUUUAUAAUUUUUAUAAUUUAAAUUUUUAUAAUUAUCUAACUAUAAUCUAACUUUAAAUUUUUUAUAAUUUAUAAUAUCUAAAACAAUAUAAUCUAACUUCUUUUAACCCUAACUUCUAACUCUUACUUUUAACCCUAACACCAUCUAAAUAUGUAUAUAUACUAAUUUUUACAAAUUUCUAUUAACCCUAACACUAACCUUAACCCUAAUUAUUUAUAUUUACUCUAACCCUAACCUAUUAUCAUUAUUAGCCCUAAAAAAUGAGGAAAAUAUUGGGGAAAAUGAAAUAGGUGGGAAUGAAAUAGUUAAAGGGGGGGGGGAAAUGAAAAUUAUUAAAUAAUUGCUAUUUGUAACGGAAUAUCCGUUAAAAAUAGUUAAAAAAUCCGUUACAAUAUAUAAUGGAAAUAGCAAAGUUACAAUAUACAAUAUACAAUCCGUUAAAAAAUCCGUUACAAUAUACAAUCCAUCUUGAUAUCUAGUAUUUGUAACGGAAAUAGCAAAGUUAACGGAAAUUCCGUUACAAAUUCCGUUAACUUUGAUAAUAAGUAUUUGUAACGAAAAUUCCGUUAACUUUGCUUCGUCCGAACUGCCUACUUUUUUUUGUAGUGAGGUGGGCCUGCUUGGACGCCCCCGCCCCGUUCUACCUGCUCUGUUUGGUCGUUGGGCGCCGCAGGAUUUUCGUCGGACGUCUCUCUGACACCUCGCCGUCCGCGCCGGGUGCUGGCCUUCACUCUGCUUCCCGACGGUCUGGGCCCUGAGCUCUCUCAAGGGCCUCCCAGCCCGUCCUAUUAACUCCAGGUAAACGCAACGCCUCAUCUUUCGCGCCCUCCGAACCCACUAUAAACCCCUUUACUUCCCCUCAUCCUCGCGUCUGAUUUUCAUUUCUUCUUUCGCUCUCGCGCUCGUCUCCCUCAACUGCGACUUCCCUCUUCUCUCCAGGUUGCUCAUGGCCGCUCCUCCUCACGCCGAUGCUGGCUCCGCCGUUGCGGAAGCCCUUGUUGCCACUCCAGAUGGCAAGAACCUGCUGUCUGUCAUCAGUGCCGACGGGGUCCGAGACGCUCUGGCGAGGAUGGACCAGCCUGACCUUGACUUCACCGAGGCCGGAAAUCGCCUCGCCUCUUAGCCGCCGUCGGGCAUGGUCGCCCUCUAAGCCAACUAAGCCGAGGCCGGCCUGACUCUUCUGCUCCCUCCUCUGGUGGCCGAAGCCAUGCGGUUCUGCGAUAUCUCGCUUUCCCAGUUCCCCCCGACCGCCAUCGAUCGUCUGGUGACGUUUUCGUUACUCUGCCGCUGGGCCGGCGUCGAGGCUUUCUUGCCCGUCUUCCUCAUCUGGUUCUCCAUGACGUCUGACCCUCGCUGGCUGUUGAUCGCUCAGAGAUCGGGCGGUGCCCUUUUCGAUCAACUGGUCGACCGAUCUCGCCACUGGCGUGACCGGUUCUUCUUCGUCUCCCUGGACGCCCUUGGCCCGUUUGAACUUGAGAUGCCGCCGCCCUCUCGUUGGGCUCUUCUGACGCAGCUGAAGAACCGGACCACAGCCCCCAGCCACCCCGAGUUGGAGUCUCAGGCGCUGAACGCGCAGGACAUCCUAGUCAGCAUCUAUCGCCGCGGGGCCGUCAAUGCUCGGACACUGGCUCAGUCUUGGAGCUACGAGGAACACAUGCUCUGCCCAUCAAGGUAGAUUACACUCGGGACGGGCCGCCCAAACGCUCGCAUAAGAAAAACAAACGGUCGCGCGACGCUAUCCUGUUGGAGCCGCCCGUGCCCUCGCCCCAAGGCCCCGACGACGAACCCAAAGGCGAGCCCCCGGCCAGGUCCGACGCUGGUCUUGAAGACAGUCGGGCCGAGAAGUGGCGAAGGAAGAAGCUUCGUUCUGAGAAGCGGAAGUCUGCAGCUACUGCCUCAGAGACGGUGGUUGAGAUCGAGGACUUGUGCUCUUCGGACCCCAACCCUUCCGAUCCCCUGUCCGCCGAAUUCGUGGCCUCUCUUCGGAGAGAUGGGCUGAAUCUUGAACACUUUCGCACGUUCGUGCGGAGCAUCGAUCAUUCGGCCGAAUUCUCCGCCCCCGUCGAUCCUGCGUCCUCCCUGCCCCGCCUCGGCGAGAUUUUCAAGAAGAAGCUCUCCGACAUCGAUUCCUGGUUGGAGCCGGAAGACGAGUAUGUCCGGCUUCUCGAAUGCCCUCCGUUGGACAUCGACCACGACCUGAACCAUCAGAUACUCCAGCUCUCGGUUCUUACCAAGGUUCGAUUGGAGCAGGGCCUCCGGCAAGACGAAGAGGUCCAGCGGAUACGCGCCGAGCUCACCGCAGUGAAGGGCCAACUGGAUGUGGUCGUGCGCGAGCGGGACGUCCUGGCUGCCGAGGCUUCCAAAGUUACCAAGGAGGAGAAAAUUCGUGCCGCCGCCGCCCAAGAUGCCCUUGCCGCCGCCGUGACUGCAGCCAAGGAUCGGUUCGUUGAGAGCUUUGUUCCUACUUUCGAGGCCCGUUUGGGGGAGUUGAAGCUGGACCACGCCGUCAUGCUGAGGGAUUCCAAGCGCGCCGGCUUCUGGAAAGGUUAUCAGCACGGGCGUCGGAUGUGCGAGCUCGUUUACCCUCCCCUUACCUACGACGUCGUGCCCCGGAGCCGCUGUGAUUGGAAGCUUUGGGAAAAAACGGGUGUCCCUUCCUACCAGCCCCCACUGGACGCGAGCGACAGCGAGGAGACGAACCUCGAGGCCGACUCUCCUGAUUACACGGAGCCUCCAAGCAAGUAGCCUUUCGUUCGGUCCUGCAUAAUUUUUACCCCCCUUUUUUUUUGCUUCGAAUGUAUUUGAACACUUGGCUAUUUUUGUUAAUAUUUUUUGCAACUUUUGGAUGUUCUCUUUCUCUAUUCUUCCUACUUCGACCUCUUCUCCUCCCGUGGUCUUUACUCGCUACAUGCGUACUUUCGAGGGGGCGGCCUGGUUCGUCCGGGCGCUCCCAUGCGGUCUGUUGACUGGGGAAGCCCCGGCUGGUCUUUUCGGCGGGCCCCCUUCGUUUCCUUGCUCCCAACUCGUCCGUGUUGCGGGUGUUCGGGCCCUCCCUUUCCCACGCUUAGCAUCUUUCUCACUUCGCUCCAUAUCACUUUCGCGUUCUUCCUUAUUGCGGUUUUUUUUUCUUUUUGAGGGAGCGGCCUGGGCCGUUCGGACGUUUCCCAUGCGAUCUUUCGACCCUGGGGACCUUCCGUUAGCCUUUUCGGCGGGCUCCCUCACUUUUUUCUUGCUUCGCAACAUAUCGUUUACGCGUUCUUACUUAUUGCGCUUUUUUUCCUUUGAGGGAGCGGCCUAGGCCGUUCAGACGUUCCCAUGCGGUCUUUCGACCCUGAGAACCUUCCGUUAGCCUUUUCGACGGGCUCCCCCACAUUUUUUCCUUCUCUUUUUUUUUGAAACAUGGGGGCACUCUGGGUGCGUUUUACUAGGUAUCGCGUGCCGUGGUCGGGAGGUCCGACAUUACAUGAGACGGGAGGGGAAGGGAAAAAAGAAAAAUAUACACCGGCCCCGAAAACACUGCUUCAUUGCCUAUACUUUUCCAGGUUGUCGGCGUGCCAAGUUCUUUCUAUUUCUUGCCUAUCCUCGUACCCUAGGCGGAAGAUGCCCAGGUGAAUUUCGUCCAUGAUGACGUACGGGCCCUCCCAUCUCUCCGACAACUUCCCCUUCGUCUGGUCCACCCCUGUUAUCUUGGCGUUCCUCAGCACGAGGUCCCCUGGUGCCAGUUUUUUGUCGGCCACUCUUUCGUCGUGGUACCUCGCCACCCUUCGUUUGUAAGUGAGGUCCCUGAUGGACGCCUCCUCUCUCCGACGUUCCAGGUGUUCUUUUUCCAGGAACAUCGCUUAGUCGUUCGUUUCCGGCUGGUAUUGUUCGGCGGGGGGGCCUCCUCUGCGGCGGAUCGUCGGUACAGUCUGUUUGGGCCACCACGAACCAGGCUGCUCUGUUUCUCAGUUUUCUGGCCUCCAUUGGAUCCGCUGGCUCUUCGCCUGCGUCGAUGAACCUCCUGAUCGGUGUUCUCCAAUCCCCCGAUGUUAUUACGCCGCAUAACACUAGCUGUCGUUGGCCGCUCCUGGUUCUCGAUUCAGAACCAUCUUCCUUCCGCUUUCCCUGGGGACGCUCCCAGCUUGGCCAGCGUGUCAGCCUCCCCGUUAUCCUCUCUCCCUAUCUGGGAGAUCUUCCAUUCCUCGAGCUUGCCCAAGGCCGUUCUUGCUUCGGCCACGUAGCUCGCCAUUGAGUCCUCUUUGGACACGAAGUCGCCCCUGACUUGGUUGGCUACUAGUCGGGAAUCCGUGUGGAGGUGCACUUUGGACGCGCCCAGCGCACUUGUUAGCCUAAUUCCCGACAGGAGGGCUUCGUAUUCCGCUGCAUUGUUGGUCGCCCGAAACUCAAAAUGGAUCAAGUACUCGAUCUUUUCCCCCGUCGGAGUUUUCACCACGAACCCCGCACCGCAAUCUGUGCUACUGGAUGACCCGUCCACGUGAGCCGUCCACCACUGCUCGUCCGCCUUCUCAUCGUCCUUUGGGACUAGCUCGGCCAUGAAAUCUGCCACCGCUUGCCCUUUGACCGCCCUCGCCGGCACAAUAACCAGGUGGAAUUCACUAAGUUUCAUGGCCCAUUUGGUCAGUCUUCUCGAGACGUCCGGCUUUUGCAGGAACUGGAGCAGCGAGUAGGCCGUUGGGAUUGUGACGGUGUGGGCGUGGAAAUAUGAUUUCAACAUUCGGACCGCCGAGACCACCGCUAGGGCCAGUUUCUCGAUAUCUGGGUACCUUUCCUCCGCCCCCUGCAGCAAUCAGGAGUGGUAAUAUACUGGGCUAUGUAAGCCCUCCGCUUCCGAGAUGAGUACUGCGCUGACGGUCGAAUCCGAUCAUGCGACGUACAUGGUGAGUGGUUCCCCUCUCGCUGGAGGGCGGAGCGUUGGCAGGCGAGAAAGCUGGAGCUUGAGUUCCUUGAAAGCUACCUCGCACUCGUCCGACCAUACUACCCUGGGGCCUGGGUUCCUCAACAGUUGGAAGAACGGGUGUAGGCGGUCCGCCAUUCUCGGCAGGAAUCUGCUUAAUGCCGCCACUCUUCCGUUCAGCUUCUGGACUUCCUUUAGCAUCCGUGGUGGGUUCAUGGUCAUGACGGCCUCAACCUUUUCCCCUCUUGGCUUGAUCCCCUAGGGCGUGUUCCGGAAGCCCAGGAAGUGCCCCUCCUUAACCCCAAACGCGCACUUUUUUGCCUUUAACUUGAGCCCCGCUUUUUUGACAUUGGCGAAGGUCUCCUCUAGGUCGGCUAGGUGUGUCUUGGUCUCCUUUGAUCGGACGAGUAUGUCGUCCACGUACACUUCCGCGUUCCUGCCUAUCUGUGCCCCGAACACUUUGUCCAUUAGCCUGUGGAAUGUAGCCCCGGCGUUUCGUAGACCGAAGGGCAUUACUUUGAAACAGAACGUGUCCAUCUCUGUGAUGAACGACGUCUUCUCCUCGUCCUCUCUUGCUAUGGGCACUUGGUUGUACCCUGAGUGCGCGUCCAUGAAACUCAGCAUUUCACACCCGGAGCUCUGGUCCACCAACCGACGGUAGUGGGUAGCUAUCCUUGGGCACGUUUUGUUGAGGUUUGUGAAGUCGACGCACAUCCUCCACCCCAUGUCUUCCUUUUUCACCAUGACCACGUUGGACAGCCAAGCGGGGUAACGCACUGGGCGAAUGAAGCCCGCUCGAAGGAGUUUCUUGACCUCCAUCUCUGCCGCCUCCCUAUAGCCUUCUAUAGUAAGAAAAUAGGAGGAAGAAUGGCUUCAGCAUCUAUAUAUAUCAAAGAAAUGUUUGCUAUCACGCAAGCUGUGGGUAAAUUGAGGCACUACCUAUUGGGUAAUCAUUUUGUGAUCAAAACAGAUCACAGAAGCUUAAAAAAUCUGUUAACACAAGUGAUUCAGACACCCGAACAACAGGUUUUCCUUUAUAAAUUGCUGGGCUACGAUUUCACAAUUAUUUACAAACCUGGAAAAGAUAAUAAGGUUGCAGACACUUUGUCCAGAUGUUAUGAUGAAGAAGAAAUUAUAUUCAGCAACAAGGCUGACAACCACAAAGGCUCCUUAUUAGCAUUAACAACUCCUAUUUGUUCCUUAAUAGAAGAGAUGAGAAAGGAAAAUGAAAUAUCACCAGAAACACAACAAUUAAUUGCCAAUAUUAGUUCAGGAUCCAAAAAAACCCAAAACUACACUUUUAAAGAUGGGUUGGUGCUAUACAAGGGCAAGUAUUACUUGAAAAACACUUCUGUUAUAAUUCCAAAAGUAUUGAAAGAAUUCCAUGAUUCACCAUUGGGAGGCCACUCCUGUAUAGAAAGAACUAUCAGAAGAAUUACAACUCAAUUUUGGUGGCAAGGUAUGAGUAAUGAUAUCAGAAUUUAUGUUCAAAACUGUUUAACCUGUCAACAGAUGAAGCCGCUUAAUCAGAAAGCAUUCGAGCUGUUAAUGCCUCUGCCUAUUCCUCCUUCUAUAUGGCACGACUUAUCUGUUGAUUUUAUUACAAAUCUCCCCAAGGUUCAAAACAAAACUGUGAUCAUUGUUGUAGUAGACAGACUAUCUAAAUCUUGUCACUUAGGGGCACUUUCAACAAAUUACACAGCUUACAUGGUGGCUGAAUUCUUGUGCAAGAGGUGAUAAGGUUGCAUGGAUACCCAAACUCAAUAGUUUCUGACAGGGAUAAAGUUUCUCUCAAAAUUCUGGAAAGAGUUAAAUAAGCUUAGUGGGACAACUCUGAAUUUUUCUACUGCUUACCACCCUCAGAGUGAUGGCCAAACUGAGGUUGUUAAUAGAAUUAUCGAGAUGUAUUUAAGAUCUCUAGCUCACGAAGAUCCAAAAAAAUGGCUUUCUCUACUUCCUUGGGCAGAGUUUUGGUUCAAUACCAAUUACAACUCCUCUAUCGGGCAAACACCAUUCCAAAUAUUAUAUGGAAAGGAAGCUCCUAUUUUACCAAACUAUAUUGAAGGUAGUUCUUUUAUUGAUGCUGUGGACAGAGAAUUGAAUGAUAGGGAGUAUGCUUUGGAGACAAUGAAAAACAAUUUAAUCAAAGCCCAAAAACGGAUGAAGACAAAUGCUGAUAAACAUAGACAAGAAAUACAGUUUAAUGUGGAUGAUUGGGUAUUGGUCAAGCUAAAGCGCUAAAGACAAUCAACAGUAGCAGUUCGACUUCAUAACAAAUUAAAUAAGAAAUACUUUGGUCCCUACAAAAUCAAAGAAAAAAUCAGCAGGGUUGCUUACAGAUUAUCUCUGCCUCCGGGAAGUCGAAUCCAUAACACAUUUCAUAUAUCCUUGCUGAAGAAAUUUAUUGGCAGCCCACCUGAAAAUAAAGAUAUGACACCUUUAAUAGCGGUAAAAAAUAACCCUAUUUUGAUUCCUCUAGCUAUUAUAGAUUAUAGGAUUGUCUACUGGAAGGGAGGGCGAUUUCAUCAAGCUCUGGUCCAGUGGGACGGAGAUCCAGUUGAAGAUUCCUCAUGGGAAGAUGUUACAGCUCUGCGCAAGUCUUUUCCCUCAAUACACCUUGAGGACAAGGUGGUUCUCCGAGAGGGAUACCAUGAUACGAAGCGGGUAGACAAGGCUGGGAUAAUAGAAGAUCUGGAGAAGAACCACGAGCUCAGUGAAGAGGUCGUCGGAGAAGAAGAAAUUGAAGAAAAAGAAAGCGAACAGAGAAAAGGAAAAUUAGAUCAGAGUCGCCAGGUGAGGGAGAGCCGUUCCAAGAGGGCUCCAGGCUGGACUGCCAAUUAUGAUAUGGGCAGAUAAGGGUUAAUUUGCAAUUAGAUCCUUAAGUUUAGAUUAGAUGUGUGAUAUUGUUUGUAUAGUUUUAAUUGGAGAAUUUCUAUUAUACACCCUUAUGUAAUUUACCCUAUAAAAGGGCUCAAUUGUAAAUAUUGUGAGUCAUCU